CGGCCUGCGCGGAAGAUGUAACGGGGCUAAAACUAUAUGCCGAAGCUGCGGAUGUGCAAUUUAUUGCACGUGGUAGGGGAGCGUUCUGUAAGCCGAUGAAGGUGUAUUGAGAAGUAUGCUGGAGGUAUCAGAAGUGCGAAUGCUGACGUGAGUAACGACAAUGCGAGUGAAAAACUCGCACGCUGAAAGACCAAGGGUUCCAGUCCAACGUUAAUCGGGGCUGGGUGAGUCGACCCCUAAGGCGAGGCCGAGAGGCGUAGUCGAUGGGAAAUUGGUUAAUAUUCCAAUACUUCUAUGUAAUGCGAUGAGAGGACGGAGAAGGUUAAGUCAGCCUGGCGUUGGUUGUCCAGGUGGAAGGUUGUAGGCAUGUAUCUUAGGCAAAUCCGGGGUACUCUAUGCUGAGAACUGAUAGCAAGCUGUACUUGUACAGUGAAGUGGCUGAUACCAUGCUUCCAGGAAAAGUCUCUAAGCUUCAGUUACAUAGGAAUCGUACCCGAAACCGACACAGGUGGUCAGGUCGAGUAGACCAAAGCGCUUGAGAGAACUCUGCUGAAGGAACUAGGCAAAAUGGUACCGUAACUUCGGGAGAAGGUACGCUGCCGACGGUGAUAGGAUUUACUCCUUGAGCUAUUGGCAGCCACAGAAACCAGGCCCCUGCAACUGUUUAUUAAAAACAUAGCACUCUGCAAACACGAAAGUGGACGUAUAGGGUGUGAU
rnacentral:rRNA from 1 species